AACGAACGCUGGCGGCGUGGAUUAGGCAUGCAAGUCGAACGAUCCCGCAAGGGAUAGUGGCGAAAGGGUGCGUAACACGUGGGCAAUCUGCCCCCGAAACGGGAAUAACUUCGGGAAACCGAAGCUAAUACCUGAUGACACCGAGCUGCCGCAUGGUGGCACGGUGAAAGGCGUCCGCAAGGGUGCCGAUCGGGGAUGAGCCCGCGGCCUAUCAGCUAGUUGGUGAGGUAACGGCCCACCAAGGCGAUGACGGGUAGCCGGCCUGAGAGGGUGGUCGGCCACAUUGGGACUGAGACACUGCCCAGACUCCUACGGGAGGCUGCAGUCGAGGAUCUUCCGCAAUGGGGGAAACCCUGACGGAGCGACGCCGCGUGGAGGAUGAAGGCCUUCGGGUCGUAAACUCCUGUCAGUCUGGAAGAAAAUCUGCAGCAAUGUGGAUUGACCGUACAGGCAGAGGAAGCUCCGGCUAACUCCGUG
rnacentral:rRNA from 1 species